AAUGUUGCAAGUGAAAUGAAGAUCGAGUUUAUCUCGUCUGCAAGUGAGUCUGGAUCAAGCUCAAAGGUAAAAGAACGGUCUGGAACUGAUGUUAGUCAUGACGAUACCGUCACUGAAUACUCCAAUCAUUUUGUCGACUGGGUCAGCCAUGGUGGGGUGCUCUUCUGGUGAAGCUUACUCAAAGUAACUAAUCAACAUUGACUUCUUUCAUCUGAUAAAUUACAUCCGAAGGAUGUAGUUCUGUAGCCAAAAGUGAAAACAUAACAUUAUCAGUCAGCUCGGUGAGGCGGUAAAUAAAGGAUGGUAAGAUUACUUGCGGAAAGAGAGAGGGA
rnacentral:misc_RNA from 1 species